ACGCUCGACACCUACGGGGGGCAGCAGUAGGGAAUUUUCGUCAAUGGGGGCAACCCUGAACGAGCAAUGCCGCGUGAGUGAAGAAGGUCUUCGGAUCGUAAAGCUCUGUUGUAAGAGAAAAACGGCCUUCAUAGGGAAUGAUGGAGGAGUGAUGGUAUCUUACCAGAAAGCCACGGCUAACUACGUGCCAGCAGCCGCGGUAAUCUGAGCGGGCUGGCAAGGC
rnacentral:rRNA from 1 species